rnacentral:tRNA from 1 species
GAGACAUUGGUGUAGUAGCAGCACUACAGUCUGUGGCACUGUCAGCACGGGUGCAAAUCCCGUAUGUCUCC